GGUUAAGCGACUAAGCGUACACGGUGGAUGCCCUGGCAGUCAGAGGCGAUGAAGGACGUGCUAAUCUGCGAAAAGCGUCGGUAAGGUGAUAUGAACCGUUAUAACCGGCGAUGUCCGAAUGGGGAAACCCAGUGCAAUUCGUUGCACUAUCGUUAACUGAAUACAUAGGUUAACGAGGCGAACCGGGGGAACUGAAACAUCUAAGUACCCCGAGGAAAAGAAAUCAACCGAGAUUCCCCCAGUAGCGGCGAGCGAACGGGGAGCAGCCCGGAGUCUGAAUCAGCUUGUGUGUUAGUGGAAGCGUCUGGAAAGUCGCAGGGUACAGGGUGAUACUCCCGUACACUAAAACACACAGGCUGUGAACUCGAAGAGUAGGGCGGGACACGUGGUAUCCUGUCUGAAUAUGGGGGGACCAUCCUCCAAGGCUAAAUACUCCUGACUGACCGAUAGUGAACCAGUACCGUGAGGGAAAGGCGAAAAGAACCCCGGCGAGGGGAGUGAAAAAGAACCUGAAACCGUGUACGUACAAGCAGUAGGAGCCCACUAGUUGGGUGACUGCGUACCUUUUGUAUAAUGGGUCAGCGACUUAUAUUCUGUAGCAAGGUUAACCGUAUAGGGGAGCCGCAGGGAAACCGAGUCUUAACUGGGCGUUAAGUUGCAGGGUAUAGACCCGAAACCCGGUGAUCUAGCCAUGGGCAGGUUGAAGGUUGGGUAACACUAACUGGAGGACCGAACCGACUAAUGUUGAAAAAUUAGCGGAUGACUUGUGGCUGGGGGUGAAAGGCCAAUCAAACCGGGAGAUAGCUGGUUCUCCCCGAAAGCUAUUUAGGUAGCGCCUCGUGAACUCAUCUUCGGGGGUAGAGCACUGUUUCGGCUAGGGGGUCAUCCCGACUUACCAACCCGAUGCAAACUACGAAUACCGAAGAAUGUUAUCACGGGAGACACACGGCGGGUGCUAACGUCCGUCGUGAAGAGGGAAACAACCCAGACCGCCAGCUAAGGUCCCAAAGUCAUGGUUAAGUGGGAAACGAUGUGGGAAGGCCCAGACAGCCAGGAUGUUGGCUUAGAAGCAGCCAUCAUUUAAAGAAAGCGUAAUAGCUCACUGGUCGAGUCGGCCUGCGCGGAAGAUGUAACGGGGCUAAACCAUGCACCGAAGCUGCGGCAGCGACGCUUAUGCGUUGUUGGGUAGGGGAGCGUUCUGUAAGCCGUUGAAGGUGGCCUGUGAGGGUUGCUGGAGGUAUCAGAAGUGCGAAUGCUGACAUAAGUAACGAUAAUGCGGGUGAAAAACCCGCACGCCGGAAGACCAAGGGUUCCUGUCCAACGUUAAUCGGGGCAGGGUGAGUCGACCCCUAAGGCGAGGCCGAAAGGCGUAGUCGAUGGGAAACAGGUUAAUAUUCCUGUACUUGGUGUUACUGCGAAGGGGGGACGGAGAAGGCUAUGUUGGCCGGGCGACGGUUGUCCCGGUUUAAGCAUGUAGGCGGAUGUUCCAGGUAAAUCCGGAACGUUACUAACGCUGAGGUGUGAUGACGAGGCACUACGGUGCUGAAGUGACAAAUGCCCUGCUUCCAGGAAAAGCCUCUAAGCAUCAGGUAACAUCAAAUCGUACCCCAAACCGACACAGGUGGUCAGGUAGAGAAUACCAAGGCGCUUGAGAGAACUCGGGUGAAGGAACUAGGCAAAAUGGUGCCGUAACUUCGGGAGAAGGCACGCUGAUGGUAGGUGAAGUGACUUGCUCAUGGAGCUGAAAUCAGUCGAAGAUACCAGCUGGCUGCAACUGUUUAUUAAAAACACAGCACUGUGCAAACACGAAAGUGGACGUAUACGGUGUGACGCCUGCCCGGUGCCGGAAGGUUAAUUGAUGGGGUUAUCCUCACGGAGAAGCUCUUGAUCGAAGCCCCGGUAAACGGCGGCCGUAACUAUAACGGUCCUAAGGUAGCGAAAUUCCUUGUCGGGUAAGUUCCGACCUGCACGAAUGGCGUAAUGAUGGCCAGGCUGUCUCCACCCGAGACUCAGUGAAAUUGAACUCGCUGUGAAGAUGCAGUGUACCCGCGGCAAGACGGAAAGACCCCGUGAACCUUUACUAUAGCUUGACACUGAACACUGGUCCUUGAUGUGUAGGAUAGGUGGGAGGCUUUGAAGUGUGGACGCCAGUCUGCAUGGAGCCGUCCUUGAAAUACCACCCUUUAAUGGCUGGUGUUCUAACGUGGGCCCCUAAUCGGGGUUGCGGACAGUGUCUGGUGGGUAGUUUGACUGGGGCGGUCUCCUCCUAAAGAGUAACGGAGGAGCACGAAGGUCAGCUAAUCCUGGUCGGACAUCAGGAGGUUAGUGCAAUGGCAUAAGCUGGCUUGACUGCGAGCGUGACGGCGCGAGCAGGUGCGAAAGCAGGUCAUAGUGAUCCGGUGGUUCUGAAUGGAAGGGCCAUCGCUCAACGGAUAAAAGGUACUCCGGGGAUAACAGGCUGAUACCGCCCAAGAGUUCAUAUCGACGGCGGUGUUUGGCACCUCGAUGUCGGCUCAUCACAUCCUGGGGCUGAAGUAGGUCCCAAGGGUAUGGCUGUUCGCCAUUUAAAGUGGUACGCGAGCUGGGUUUAGAACGUCGUGAGACAGUUCGGUCCCUAUCUGCCGUGGGCGCUGGAGAAUUGAGGGGGGCUGCUCCUAGUACGAGAGGACCGGAGUGGACGCAUCACUGGUGUUCGGGUUGUCAUGCCAAUGGCAUUGCCCGGUAGCUAAAUGCGGAAGAGAUAAGUGCUGAAAGCAUCUAAGCACGAAACUUGCCCCGAGAUGAGUUCUCCCUGACUCCUUGAGAGUCCUGAAGGAACGUUGAAGACGACGACGUUGAUAGGCCGGGUGUGUAAGCGCAGCGAUGCGUUGAGCUAACCGGUACUAAUGAACCGUGAGGCUUAACCUU
rnacentral:rRNA from 1 species